GAUGAACGCUGGCGGCGUGCCUAAUACAUGCAAGUCGAGCGAACAGACGAGGAGCUUGCUCCUCUGACGUUAGCGGCGGACGGGUGAGUAACACGUGGAUAACCUACCUAUAAGACUGGGAUAACUUCGGGAAACCGGAGCUAAUACCGGAUAAUAUAUUGAACCGCAUGGUUCAAUAGUGAAAGACGGUUUUGCUGUCACUUAUAGAUGGAUCCGCGCUGCAUGAGCUAGUUGGUAAGGUAACGGGUUACCAAGGCAACGAUGCGUAGCCGAAGUGAGAGGGUGAUCGGCCACACUGGAGCUGAGACGCGGUCCAGACUCCUACGAGAGGCAGCAGUCGGGAAUCUGCCGCAAUGGGCGAAAGCCUGACGGAGCAACGCCGCGUGAGUGAUGAAGGUCUUCGGAUCGUAAAACUCUGUUACUAGGGAAGAACAACUGUGUAAGUAACUAUGCACGUCUUGACGGUACCUAAUCAGAAAGCCACGGCUAACUACGUG
rnacentral:rRNA from 1 species